GGUGAGUAACGCGUGGAUGAUCUACCUAUGAGAUGGGGAUAACUAUUAGAAAUAGUAGCUAAUACCGAAUAAGGUCAGUUAAUUUGUUAAUUGAUGAAAGGAAGCCUUUAAAGCUUCGCUUGUAGAUGAGUCUGCGUCUUAUUAGCUAGUUGGUAGGGUAAAUGCCUACCAAGGCAAUGAUAAGUAACCGGCCUGAGAGGGUGAACGGUCACACUGGAACUGAGAUACGGUCCAGACUCCUACGGGAGGCAGCAGCUAAGAAUCUUCCGCAAUGGGCGAAAGCCUGACGGAGCGACACUGCGUGAAUGAAGAAGGUCGAAAGAUUGUAAAAUUCUUUUAUAAAUGAGGAAUAAGCUUUGUAGGAAAUGACAAAGUGAUGACGUUAAUUUAUGAAUAAGCCCCGGCUAAUUACGUGCCAGCAGCCGCGGUAAUACGUAAGGGGCGAGCGUUGUUCGGGAUUAUUGGGCGUAAAGGGUGAGUAGGCGGAUAUGUAAGUCUAUGCAUAAAAUACCACAGCUCAACUGUGGACCUAUGUUGGAAACUAUAUGUCUAGAGUCUGAUAGAGGAAGUUAGAAUUUCUGGUGUAAGGGUGGAAUCUGUUGAUAUCAGAAAGAAUACCGGAGGCGAAGGCGAACUUCUGGGUCAAGACUGACGCUGAGUCACGAAAGCGUAGGGAGCAAACAGGAUUAGAUACCCCUGGUAGUCUACGCUGUAAACGAUGCACACUUGGUGUUAACUAAAAGUUAGUACCGAAGCUAACGUGUUAAGUGUGCCGCCUGGGGAGUAUGCUCGCAAGAGUGAAACUCAAAGGAAUUGACGGGGGCCCGCACAAGCGGUGAGCAUGUGGUUUAAUUCGAUGAUACGCGAGGAACCUUACCAGGGCUUGACAUAUAUAGGAUAUAGUUAGAGAUAAUUAUUCCCCGUUUGGGGUCUAUAUACAGGUGCUGCAUGGUUGUCGUCAGCUCGUGCUGUGAGGUGUUGGGUUAAGUCCCGCAACGA
rnacentral:rRNA from 1 species